GCUGGGAUCAACAGAGGUGACGAUUCAUCAGUGGCGACAGCCUGACUCCUCCACUGUGCAGUCAUCUCUUCUCUUAGAACCAGAGUUCGCUCCGGCCUGGUGAUUUGGCACAUCAGACAAGUCUCAGCAGGACGGAGACGGUGCUAGUAGGCACAACAGGUCUGCCCUGGCGCGCUGCAGGGCCCGAGCCUGCCGCCUGCCCCACCCUCCUGACCGCCCGGCCCGCCUGGCUCCGGACCAGCCCUGCCUGGCUGCCUUGAAAGAGCUGCAACGCGCUUCUGAUGAGAAAGAAAACAGAAAGUCAGCACCAGCCACGCCUGAAUCUGAAAGUGGACCACCUGCUGAAGGCCCCAGGUCUCCCAGCAUCUCCCCGAAGCCAGGCGCCCGCCGUCUGUGUGCGGGCGGUCUCGCUUGGGUGUCACCGGCAUCUCCAGCGCAGAGGCUGCUUCCUCCCAGCCCGCGCCUCCGGGAGCCGCUCCCCCAGCAGAUGCAGGCAGCCCCUCCUUCUGGU